CGGCGGACGGGUGAGUAACGCGUAGGAAUCUACCCAGUAGUGGGGGACAACAGUCGGAAACGGCUGCUAAUACCGCAUACGCCCUACGGGGGAAAGCGGGGGAUCUUCGGACCUCGCGCUAUUGGAUGAGCCUGCGUUGGAUUAGCUAGUUGGUAGGGUAAAGGCCUACCAAGGCGACGAUCCAUAGCUGGUCUGAGAGGAUGAUCAGCCACACUGGAACUGAGACACGGUCCAGACUCC
rnacentral:rRNA from 1 species